GACGAACGCUGGCGGCGUGCUUAACACAUGCAAGUCGAACGGAAAGGCCCUGCUUUUGUGGGGUGCUCGAGUGGCGAACGGGUGAGUAACACGUGAGUAACCUGCCCUUGACUUUGGGAUAACUUCAGGAAACUGGGGCUACUACCGGAUAGGAGCUCCUGCUGCAUGGUGGGGGUUGGAAAGUUUCGGCGGUUGGGGAUGGACUCGCGGCUUAUCAGCUUGUUGGUGGGGUAGUGGCUUACCAAGGCUUUGACGGGUAGCCGGCCUGAGAGGGUGACCGGCCACAAUGGGACUGAGAUACGGCCCAGAGUCCUACGGGAGGCAGCAGUGGGGAAUAUUGCACAAUGGGCGGAAGCCUGAGGCAGCAACGCCGCGUGCGGGAUGACGGCCUGCGGGUUGUAAACCGCUUUCGCCUGUGACGAAGCGUGAGUGACGGUAAUGGAUAAAGAAGCACCGGCUAACUACGUG
rnacentral:rRNA from 1 species